rnacentral:rRNA from 1 species
AGGGUCAUUGGAAACUGGGAAACUUGAGUGCAGAAGAGGAGAGUGGAAUUCCACGUGUAGCGGUGAAAUGCGUAGAGAUGUGGAGGAACACCAGUGGCGAAGGCGACUCUCUGGUCUGUAACUGACGCUGAGGCGCGAAAGCGUGGGGAGCGAACAGGAUUAGAUACCCUGGUAGUCCACGCCGUUAACGAUGAGUGCUAAGUGUUAGAGGGUUUCCGCCCUUUAGUGCUGCAGCUAACGCAUUAAGCACUCCGCCUGGGGAGUACGGUCGCAAGACUGAAACUCAAAGGAAUUGACGGGGGCCCGCACAAGCGGUGGAGCAUGUGGUUUAAUUCGAAGCAACGCGAAGAACCUUACCAGGUCUUGACAUCCUUUGCCACUUCUAGAGAUAGAAGGUUCCCCUUCGGGGGACAAAGUGACAGGUGGUGCAUGGUUGUCGUCAGCUCGUGUCGUGAGAAAGGGGUUAAGUCCCGCAACGAGCGUCCGUUGUAACAAAGUAGCCGUUGAGUUUGAACCUGGGUCCGUUGUAACAAAGUAUCCGUAGAGGUUGAACCUGGGUCAGUUGUAACAAAGUAGCCGUUGAGUUUGAUCCUGGGUCAGUUGUAACAAAGUAGGCGUAGAAUUUGAUCCUGGGUCAGUUGUAACAAGGUAGCCGUAGAGUUUGAUCCUGGGUCAGUUGUAACAAGGUAGCCGUAGAGUUUGAUCCUGGGUCAGUCGUAACAAGGUAGCCGUAGAGUUUGAUC